rnacentral:misc_RNA from 1 species
GAUGAAGAACGUAGCGAAAUGUGAUAAGUAAUGUGAAUUGCAGAAUUCAGUGAAUCAUCGAAUCUUUGAACGCACAUUGCGCCCGCCAGUAUUCUGGCGGGCAUGCCUGUUCGAGCGUCAUUACAACCCUCAGGCCCCCGGGCCUGGCGUUGGGGAUCGGCGGAGCCCCCCGUGGGCACACGCCGUCCCCCAAAUACAGUGGCGGUCCCGCCGCAGCUUCCAUCGCGUAGUAGCUAACACCUCGCGACUGGAGAGCGGCGCGGCCACGCCGUAAAACACCCAACUCUUCUGAAGUUGACCUCGAAUCAGGGAGGAAUACCCGCUGAACUUAAGCAUAUCAAUAAGCGGAGGA